CCUACGGGAGGCAGCAGUGAGGAAUAUUGGUCAAUGGGCGAGAGCCUGAACCAGCCAAGUCGCGUGAGGGAGUACUGCCCUAUGGGUUGUAAACCCCUUUUGUCGGGGAGCAAAAGCAGGACGUGUCCGGCUGUGAGAGUACCCGAAGAAAAAGCAUCGGCUAACUCCGUGCCAGCAGCCGCGGUAAUACGGAGGAUGCGAGCGUUAUCCGGAUUUAUUGGGUUUAAAGGGUGCGCAGGCGGAUUUUUAAGUCAGCGGUAAAAUCGUGGGGCUCAACCCCAUCCAGCCGUUGAAACUGGGGAUCUAGAGUGUGCGAGAGGUAUGCGGAAUGCGUGGUGUAGCGGUGAAAUGCAUAGAUAUCACGCAGAACCCCGAUUGCGAAGGCAGCAUACCGGUGCACAACUGACGCUCAGGCACGAAAGCGUGGGUAUCGAACAGGAUUAGAUACCCGAGUAGUC
rnacentral:rRNA from 1 species